GAGGGUAUAGCUCAAGUGGUGGAGCACAUGAGUAGCAUGCAUGAGAUCCUGGGUUCAAUCCCCAGGACUUCCU
rnacentral:tRNA from 1 species